ACAGAGCUCAGCAGCCCAGGGCUUACUUAGGAUCUCCAUUGCUGGGAAGACACCAUGGCCAAGGCAACUCUUAUAAGGACAACAUUUAAUUGGGGCUGGCUUACAGGUUCAGAGGUUCAGUCCAUUAUCACCAAGGCAGGAAGCAUGGCACUGUUCAGGCAGGCAAGGCACUGGAGGAGCUAAGAACUCUACAUCUUGUUCUGAAGGGAAGUACAAGGAGACUGACUUCCAGGCAUCUAGGAGGUCUCAAAGUCCACCCUUACAGGGUCAUGCUUCCUCCAACAAAGCCACCUCCUAAUAACCACCUAACAGUACCACUCACUCCCUGGGCCAAGCACAGUAAACCACCACAUGCACCACAUUUUGGAUUCAAUUCCUAGUACUGAGAAAAAGAGGAGGAGGAGGGAGCGAGGGAGGAAAAAGGGAAGGGAAGGGAAGGGAAAAGGGAAGGGAAGGAAAAAAGGAAGGAAAGGAAAAAGGAAAGGGAAAAGGAAAAAAGGAAGGAAAGGAAAGGAGAAAGGAAAGGAGGGGAAAGGAAAGGGAAGGGAAGGGGAAAGGAAAGGGAAGGGAAGGGAGAAAAAAAGGAAGGGAAGAAAGAAGGGAAAAAGGGAGAAAGAAAGGAAAGGAGAGGAGAGGAGAAAGGAAAGGGGGGAGGAAAAGGAAAAGGAAAAAGAAAGGAAGGUUUCUUAUCUAUAAUAUGGUGCUGCAUGCCUGUGUGCCCAGUAUUUAGGAGGCUGAAACAGGAGUCUCAUGCUGGGCCAUGUGUCAUGAGUUGGAAGCCAGCCUGGGCAACAUGCACUUAGGCACACAUACUCACACUCACACUCAUAUAUACAAAUCUGACUUAGAAGACUUUUCAAGUCAAUGCUUUAGUCUUGUUGAAAAUUUUUAUAUUUAAAACUAGAUGUGUUUUAUAAACUAUGCUUAGAAGGAAGUAAAUAUUCUAUAUUUAGCCAUGUAAUCAAUUUUAUUUUUAAAAUUGGCAUGCUUGGUUUUAAGAUUUCAUGGGUUUUAUCUUCUAUAAACCUUUGUGGGUUUUUAAAUACCUAUUUUAUUUUGAGAAUUUCACGUAUGAGUACUGUAUUUACAUGAUUUUCACACUACAGACUCCAUCUUCCAACUUUACCUGUUUCCCCUGGUACACAUGCCCUGUCACACUCAUAACCUCUUCUUCUUUCAUUAUCACUGUUUCUCUGUCUGUCUGUCUGUCUGUCUGUCUCAUACUACUGAGCCCAUUUAGUGUUGCUCAUUGUGUAUGUUGACUUUGUUGUUUUCUGUUUUUUGUUACUUUCGUAUUUGAUAGCUUUCUGAAUUAAGGGGUCAGUGUAAUAUCUUCUGCUUUGAUAGUUAAGGUACUUUUAUAUCUUCUGUCACAUUAUUUUAAAAGAAUGUGAAUAUUUUUCUAUUCCUUUUUUAUUUAUUCAUUCACUUUACAACUUGAUCGCUGCCCGCUCUUCUGGUCCCCACUCUUUUCCCCCAUCCCGCCUUCCCCUUCUCCUCUGAGAGGGUAGAUUCCCCCUGGGUAUCCCCUCACCCUGGCACAUCAAAUCUCUUCAGGGGUAGGCAUAUUCUCUCCCACUGAGGCCAGACAAGGCAGCCCAACUAGAAUGUAUCCCAUGUAUAGGCAACAGCUUUUGGGCUAGCCCCCACUCCAGUUGUUUGGGCCAAAAGACAGACAAAUU
rnacentral:lncRNA from 1 species